UGGGGAAUUUUGGACAAUGGGCGAAAGCCUGAUCCAGCAAUGCCGCGUGUGUGAAGAAGGCCUUCGGGUUGUAAAGCACUUUUGUCCGGAAAGAAAUCCUUGGCUCUAAUACAGUCGGGGGAUGACGGUACCGGAAGAAUAAGCACCGGCUAACUACGUGCCAGCAGCCGCGGUAAUACGUAGGGUGCAAGCGUUAAUCGGAAUUACUGGGCGUAAAGCGUGCGCAGGCGGUUUGCUAAGACCGAUGUGAAAUCCCGGGCUCAACCUGGGAACUGCAUUGGUGACUGGCAGGCUAGAGUAUGGCAGAGGGGGGUAGAAUUCCACGUGUAGCAGUGAAAUGCGUAGAGAUGUGGAGGAAUACCGAUGGCGAAGGCAGCCCCCUGGGCCAAUACUGACGCUCAUGCACGAAAGCGUGGGGAGCAAACAGGAUUAGAUACCCUGGUAGUCCACGCCCUAAACGAUGUCAACUAGUUGUUGGGGAUUCAUUCCUUAGUAACGUAGCUAACGCGUGAAGUUGACCGCCUGGGGAGUACGGUCGCAAGAUUAAAACUCAAAGGAAUUGACGGGGU
rnacentral:rRNA from 1 species